ensembl:lncRNA
UGUGGACAGACAGUGUUUCCUGAUGUGGUAAAGCUGUGGAGGGGACAGUGUGUCAGGCUGAAGCUCAGAAAUCCUUUUCCAUGGAGUUUUUUGCAGGAGCUGCAGCAGUGGCCAAGGGGGGCUCGGUGCUGGCGGCCCUGGGGGGCCCCGUCACUCUGGCUGCUGGGGGGGUGCUGAUGGCCGGCUACAUGCUGCACAAAAUGACGGACAGAAAACCUUAUUUGCACUUAGAUGAUUCUUACAGUUUCAGAUCUUCUGCUUCUCUGGAUUCUUCUGGUUCUAUAAUGUGUGAGCGGUCCACCUGCUGCGAUAAUUCUCAUUCUGAUUCGUUUGAUUUCAAGAAUUGUUCGAUGAGCGGGAGUGUCUUUCCCGGGGCCCACCAACUGAGCUCCGUUGAUACUUCUCAGCGUCCUUGUAGACAGAGCAUCUUUCCCGGGGCCCACCAACUGAGCUCCGUUGAUACUUCUCAGCGUCCUUGUAGACAGAGCAUCUUUCCCGGGGCCCACCAAUUGAGCUCCGUUGAUACUUCUCAGCGUCCUUGUAGACAGAGCAUCUUUCCCGGGGCUCACCAAUUGAGCUCCGUUGAUACUUCUCAGCGUCCUUGGGGACAGAGAAUCUUUCCCGGGGCCCACCAAUUGAGCUCCGUUGAUACUUCUCAGCGUCCUUGUAGACAGAGCAUCUUUCCCGGGGCCCACCAAUUGAGCUCCGUUGAUACUUCUCAGCGUCCUUGUAGACAGAGCAUCUUUCCCGGGGCCCACCAAUUGAGCUCCGUUGAUACUUCUCAGCGACCUUGUAGACAGAGCAUCUUUCCCGGGGCCCACCAAUUGAGCUCCGUUGAUACUUCUCAGCGUCCUUGUAGACAGAGCAUCUUUCCCGGGGCCCACCAAUUGAGCUCCGUUGAUACUUCUCAGCGACCUUGUAGACAGAGCAUCUUUCCCGGGGCCCACCAAUUGAGCUCCGUUGAUACUUCUCAGCGACCUUGUAGACAGAGAAUCUUUCCCGGGGCCCACCAAUUGAGCUCCGUUGAUAUUUCUGCACGUAUGAGAGAAAACAGGGGAGGGGCUCCUCCACUGGCGUGUCUCAUUGAUUUGGAUGCUGAUGCUGACUGUAAUGGAUCCACCUCAAACAACAGUGGCGGCUCUCAGUCAAACCAGCAGGGGUCAAAGAAUGGGAAGCACGGGCUGCAAGAUAAAGACUCCUCUGAAGUGGCUAACGAGCUCAACGCUGGAGGAGCCGGCUCAUACAAAGAUGCAAGAAAGAGAAGACAGUCUCCUGAGAGAGAUGAUGGCUAUAGAAGAAGCAUGGAGGCAGAUCACAUCCCACCGCUGGACUCUUGGAGGAGGGCCAGACAUCAUCCUGAGUUUGAUUCUCUCAGACACAUUAAUCCGGCUCUCUAUGAGAUGGCGUGUAGCUUGGAAAAUGACCCAAGAGGAGAAAACUUGCCCACCAUCGAGGUGCCGAGGCAGAGCCACAGGGUCAACCUCACCACUGGCAACAGCACAGAAUCCCGAAGCGUAAGGGCUCUGCUGGCUGACUACAUCGCUCGAGGAGAGGCGGAGAGGAUGCUGAGGCUCGCCUUCAUCGUGGCUCAUCCUGUCGCCUCCAAUCAAAUACGAAGGGAUGCAGGUCUUUCUGAGAGACGGUCCGUGGCGAUCGUUGAGUUUAGGGAAGGACGAAUCCUGACGAUGUACAGAAGGGGUUUCCUGGACCUGCUGGAGCUUUACCACCGGCGGGGCGUCAUCAACCAAGAAGAGCUGGAACGCCUCAGAAAAUUCGUGAAGAGGGACAGGUUUCUCAACACAAAAUCUCACGAGUACCAAGAAAUACUCAGAAAUGUCUUGGAAAGCAUGAAGCGCAGAAACCAGAGCUAAACAAACUAAACCGUGCAGUGCGCACAGUCACUGUGGCUCAUUCUGAAACUCAUUAUGUGAACAUGAAAUAUGCAUUAUAAUUUCCUUAAUUUUAUUUAGCACAGUCUGAUCAAUAGAGGAGUCAAUGCUGAUCAAACACAAUUUUUAAAGAAAAAAAAACUGGAUAAAUGAAAUAGCCAAAAAUUGCAUUGAAGAAAAUUGUGUUUAUUGUGUU